rnacentral:pre_miRNA from 1 species
CCUCCGUCCCAUAAUAAGCGCAGUUCUAUCCGUCUUAUUUGAAAUAUUUUUAUGAUUAGUAUUUUUAUUGUUAUUAGAUGAUAAAAUAUGAAUAGUACUUUAUGCGUGACUUAACUUUUCAAAUAAGAUGGACAGUCAAACGUUGGGCACGGAAACUUAUGGCUGCACUUAUA